UGUUUGGGAAACUUUUGUUUCUUUUAUAUACAGUGAAUACAAUAAAAUACUCCAGCAUUCUUUAGAUUUAACAUAACUUCUAAACUCACAUGUUAGUUUAUAUCAUGCUUAUUUACUUUAACUUCCUGUCUCAGGCAUAUAGGCAGCAGUUUGAAAAAUAGUACAUACAGGGUAUUUGUUUCUAGGCCUUGUUUACUUCAAAAUGAUUUUAUUUCUUUAACAGUGAAAAUAUAAUCUAAGUAUAAAAUGUUUUGUCACAAUCUCUCCCCCUGAAAAUACUGUCUCUUUAGUCCACUGACUUCUGGGAUUGGUAUUGUGGAGAAUUCUGAUUGCAAUUUUUGAUUUGUUGAAAAAUAAUGUCCAUGUGCACAUUGUAGAGUUUUCCUCUCCACCUUUUUAAUCACAGUGUUUUCCAGCCAAUGUCUAAGAGCGCACCUCUUCCCCUCCGAUUUCCCUGUGCUUCAGACUUACAGCAUGUUGUCCCCUCCUCUUCAAGGGGAAUGUCUUGCCAUCCCUCCCUUGGGUUGGUGCAAACCCUGCAUAGACCACUUGUUUUUCACCCACACACACUGGUAGAAAAAACAAACUUUUACAUUUCCACUUGAGGGAAACAGUUACAGCUUCUCUUUGGAAAACUCAAACUGCCAGCCUGGCUCUCUUGGCUUUGGGACCAUUCGUAACUGCAUAAGGGAUUCCCUCACUCAGCAGGAUGACACGGUGACAGUCCCUCUGCACAGGGAGGUGGAUGCUCUGUGACUGAGGCGCAGCUGGCACGUGCAGGUGGGAUGGCUCAUGUCUAGCGCUGGAGCAGGACAGCGAAGGGCUCAUCCCACCACACACCCGCGUGCAAUCGCAGCUUGGGACUGCUUUAUGGGCAGGGUUUCCACUGGCUGCUUCCAGAUCGUGGCUGACCACAGUAGCUGAAACCAGAGGCAAGCAAAGUCAUGGGCAGGGACUGUUCUUACUUCCAAACGCCACCUGUGAUGACUGCAACCAGCUUGUCGCCAGUCUCACCUGUCCGGAUUGUCCUUCAAGGCCCUUGCUGCUCCUCGAAAUGAUCAGAUGUAGAGGAGCGAAGCGUGGUCAGCCCACUGUGCCUGUAUCUCGGAGCUGGCACAGACUUCCAGCCAUCUGGAAGACAGUGUGGUCGCAGGAGGGGUCUUGCAGAUUGGGGCCCAGGGCCGGGUCCGACUGCAGAGUGGCAGUGCACCUGGAGAGUCUCUGACUCUGGCUCUGCCCCGCUAGGUCCCCGUGGCUCCAUCUUGCCUGCUGCCUCCCCGCAGUGCUGUCUUGGCCACUGUCCCUUGCUUACGAGCUCUGGUCCUUCAACAACAGACGUGGACUUGGCUGCAGGACUUCACAGGAGCUGCGUACUGCCCCUGGAGGCUCUGCUCUACGUCCGGUCCGCUCCCCACUCACUCCUGGCCUCUCAAGAGCCACAUCAGUGCCACUCAGAGCAGCCCCUGUGGCCGCCUGGUCACACUGCAUGCCAGUGGCUGCCUCAGCCUCCCGUCUCCCUGAUGCAGCAAAUGCACGUUUGAUGCCGUGGCCCAAACCCGAAGUCCCCACACUUCCUGAAUCACUGGAUGUUCCUCUAAUUAACGAGCAGCUCUAAAAAUGAAAUCCUUUGGGCUUAAUGUUUGAAAUUAUGUACACAUAAUUUGUAACUGCAUAGUCUGAAUUCCAAACUACAAUCACUAGUUAUGUUUUAUUUCAGAAAGAUUACAUUUAUUUCGGUAAUUACCUCUUCUUAUAUAAACUAAUGCUAAGUUAUACUUAAUAUUUUGGGUUUUUUUUAUAUAGCAUCAAUACCAGGGCCACUUAUUUGAAUGGUAGCUGCAUGUCCUUAGAAAAUUUCUAUUAGCAUCUGCAAUAAAAAGUCAACAA
rnacentral:lncRNA from 1 species